rnacentral:rRNA from 1 species
AAUGUCAAGUCGAGCGAACAGAAGGGAGCUUGCUCCCGGAUGUUAGCGGCGGACGGGUGAGUAACACGUGGGUAACCUGCCUGUAAGACUGGGAUAACUCCGGGAAACCGGAGCUAAUACCGGAUAGUUCCUUGAACCGCAUGGUUCAAGGAUGAAAGACGGUUUCGGCUGUCACUUACAGAUGGACCCGCGGCGCAUUAGCUAGUUGGUGGGGUAAUGGCUCACCAAGGCGACGAUGCGUAGCCGACCUGAGAGGGUGAUCGGCCACACUGGGACUGAGACACGGCCCAGACUCCUACGGGAGGCAGCAGUAGGGAAUCUUCCGCAAUGGACGAAAGUCUGACGGAGCAACGCCGCGUGAGUGAUGAAGGUUUUCGGAUCGUAAAGCUCUGUUGUUAGGGAAGAACAAGUGCGAGAGUAACUGCUCGCACCUUGACGGUACCUAACCAGAAAGCCACGGCUAACUACGUGCCAGCAGCCGCGGUAAUACGUAGGUGGCAAGCGUUGUCCGGAAUUAUUGGGCGUAAAGGGCUCGCAGGCGGUUUCUUAAGUCUGAUGUGAAAGCCCCCGGCUCAACCGGGGAGGGUCAUUGGAAACUGGGAAACUUGAGUGCAGAAGAGGAGAGUGGAAUUCCACGUGUAGCGGUGAAAUGCGUAGAGAUGUGGAGGAACACCAGUGGCGAAGGCGACUCUCUGGUCUGUAACUGACGCUGAGGAGCGAAAGCGUGGGGAGCGAACAGGAUUAGAUACCCUGGUAGUCCACGCCGUAAACGAUGAGUGCUAAGUGUUAGGGGGUUUCCGCCCCUUAGUGCUGCAGCUAACGCAUUAAGCACUCCGCCUGGGGAGUACGGUCGCAAGACUGAAACUCAAAGGAAUUGACGGGGGCCCGCACAAGCGGUGGAGCAUGGUGGUUUAAUUCGAAGCAACGCGAAGAACCU